ACCGACUAAUGUUGAAAAAUUAGCGGAUGACCUGUGGCUGGGGGUGAAAGGCCAAUCAAACCGGGAGAUAGCUGGUUCUCCCCGAAAGCUAUUUAGGUAGCGCCUCGUGAAUUCAUCUCCGGGGGUAGAGCACUGUUUCGGCUAGGGGGCCAUCCCGGCUUACCAACCCGAUGCAAACUGCGAAUACCGGAGAAUGUUAUCACGGGAGACACACGGCGGGUGCUAACGUCCGUCGUGAAGAGGGAAACAACCCAGACCGCCAGCUAAGGUCCCAAAGUCAUGGUUAAGUGGGAAACGAUGUGGGAAGGCCCAGACAGCCAGGAUGUUGGCUUAGAAGCAGCCAUCAUUUAAAGAAAGCGUAAUAGCUCACUGGUCGAGUCGGCCUGCGCGGAAGAUGUAACGGGGCUAAACCAUGCACCGAAGCUGCGGCAGCGACACUGUGUGUUGUUGGGUAGGGGAGCGUUCUGUAAGCCUGUGAAGGUGUGUCGUGAGGCAUGCUGGAGGUAUCAGAAGUGCGAAUGCUGACAUAAGUAACGAUAAAGCGGGUGAAAAGCCCGCUCGCCGGAAGACCAAGGGUUCCUGUCCAACGUUAAUCGGGGCAGGGUGAGUCGACCCCUAAGGCGAGGCCGAAAGGCGUAGUCGAUGGGAAACGGGUUAAUAUUCCCGUACUUGGUGUUACUGCGAAGGGGGGACGGAGAAGGCUAUGUUGGCCGGGCGACGGUUGUCCCGGUUUAAGCGUGUAGGUGUGUGUUCCAGGUAAAUCCGGUUCACUUUAACACUGAGGCGUGACGACGAGGCACUACGGUGCUGAAGCAACAAAUGCCCUGCUUCCAGGAAAAGCCUCUAAGCAUCAGGUAACAUCAAAUCGUACCCCAAACCGACACAGGUGGUCAGGUAGAGAAUACCAAGGCGCUUGAGAGAACUCGGGUGAAGGAACUAGGCAAAAUGGUGCCGUAACUUCGGGAGAAGGCACGCUGACACGUAGGUGAAGUGAUUUACUCAUGGAGCUGAAGUCAGUCGAAGAUACCAGCUGGCUGCAACUGUUUAUUAAAAACACAGCACUGUGCAAACACGAAAGUGGACGUAUACGGUGUGACGCCUGCCCGGUGCCGGAAGGUUAAUUGAUGGGGUCAGCGCAAGCGAAGCUCCUGAUCGAAGCCCCGGUAAACGGCGGCCGUAACUAUAACGGUCCUAAGGUAGCGAAAUUCCUUGUCGGGUAAGUUCCGACCUGCACGAAUGGCGUAAUGAUGGCCAGGCUGUCUCCACCCGAGACUCAGUGAAAUUGAACUCGCUGUGAAGAUGCAGUGUACCCGCGGCAAGACGGAAAGACCCCGUGAACCUUUACUAUAGCUUGACACUGAACAUUGAGCCUUGAUGUGUAGGAUAGGUGGGAGGCUUUGAAGUGUGGACGCCAGUCUGCAUGGAGCCGACCUUGAAAUACCACCCUUUAAUGUUUGAUGUUCUAACGUGGACCCGUUACCCGGGUUGCGGACAGUGUCUGGUGGGUAGUUUGACUGGGGCGGUCUCCUCCUAAAGAGUAACGGAGGAGCACGAAGGUUGGCUAAUCCUGGUCGGACAUCAGGAGGUUAGUGCAAUGGCAUAAGCCAGCUUGACUGCGAGCGUGACGGCGCGAGCAGGUGCGAAAGCAGGUCAUAGUGAUCCGGUGGUUCUGAAUGGAAGGGCCAUCGCUCAACGGAUAAAAGGUACUCCGGGGAUAACAGGCUGAUACCGCCCAAGAGUUCAUAUCGACGGCGGUGUUUGGCACCUCGAUGUCGGCUCAUCACAUCCUGGGGCUGAAGUAGGUCCCAAGGGUAUGGCUGUUCGCCAUUUAAAGUGGUACGCGAGCUGGGUUUAGAACGUCGUGAGACAGUUCGGUCCCUAUCUGCCGUGGGCGCUGGAGAACUGAGGGGGGCUGCUCCUAGUACGAGAGGACCGGAGUGGACGCAUCACUGGUGUUCGGGUUGUCAUGCCAAUGGCACUGCCCGGUAGCUAAAUGCGGAAGAGAUAAGUGCUGAAAGCAUCUAAGCACGAAACUUGCCCCGA
rnacentral:rRNA from 2 species